AGGAAUGUAUUUAAUUAUAAUAAUUAGGUUGCAUCUAAUAGGUGUCAAAUAGACCAUUCUUG
rnacentral:tRNA from 1 species